rnacentral:misc_RNA from 1 species
GAGAAAGUGUCGUCGUUGUCUUUUCUUGACCGGAGAGAGAGUGGCCUCCUUCACUUUGUUAAGUACCACGGUCUCGGCAAUGACUUCAUCUUGGUUGAUAAUAGGGACUCAUCAGAGCCUAGGAUCACCCCGGAGCAAGCUGCGAAGUUAUGUGAUCGAAACUUUGGGAUCGGUGCUGACGGAGUUAUCUUUGCUAUGCCGGGCGUUAAUGGUACUGAUUAUACCAUGAGGAUAUUCAAUUCCGACGGUAGUGAACCUGAGAUGUGUGGUAAUGGAGUACGGUGCUUUGCCAGAUUUAUUGCGGAGCUUGAGAAUUUGCAGGGAAGGCAUAGUUUCACUGUUCAUACUGGUGCUGGUCUUAUUAUUCCAGAACUUCAGGAUGAUGGACAGGUAAAAGUAGACAUGGGCGAACCAAUUCUCAAAGCAUCAGAUGUGCCUACCCGAUUGACACCAACUUCAGACCAAUCUGUUGUUAAGGCAGACAUAGAAGUAGAUGGAGUUGCAUGGAGCGUGAC